GACUGCGUAGCUCAGUUGGCAGAGCAUUGGGCUAGUAUCCCAAACUGGUCGUAGGUUCGAUUCCAACCGUGGCCA
rnacentral:tRNA from 1 species